rnacentral:misc_RNA from 1 species
CAAGCUGAAGCAUACUGGGCCAGGCCUUCUGUCCAUGGCAAACGCCGGUCCAGACACAAAUGGUUCACAAUUUUUCAUCACUACAGUGACAACUAGCUGGCUGGAUGGUAGACACGUAGUAUUUGGAAAGGUGCUGUCUGGAAUGGACGUGGUUUAUAAAAUCGAAGCUGAGGGAAGGCAAAAUGGAACACCUAAGAGCAAAGUUGUGAUUGCAGACAGCGGCGAGCUCCCUCUAUGAUUGACAGGUCGGCCCUUUUUUUUCCCUAUCUAAGCAAAGCAUAGUAUGGCCGUUAUCCACUCCUCUCCUUUGCUUUUCUUUUUAUGUGCUGUUGACACUAGGAUUGG